ACCUGAUGAGCUAUUCCAAUGGGCAAAAGAAAAUAUCUACGAGUUCGUUGAAGAACCAGAUAUUAAAAGCAGGUUAAGAAAAAGAAAAGGAGCAACAACAGUAACUGAAGAAUUGAA